rnacentral:rRNA from 1 species
CCAGACUCCUACGGGAGGCAGCAGUGGGGAAUAUUGGGCAAUGGGCGCAAGCCUGACCCAGCAACGCCGCGUGAAGGAAGAAGGCUUUCGGGUUGUAAACUUCUUUUCUGAGGGACGAAGGAAGUGACGGUACCUCAGGAAUAAGCCACGGCUAACUACGUGCCAGCAGCCGCGGUAAUACGUAGGUGGCAAGCGUUAUCCGGAUUUAUUGGGUGUAAGGGGCGUGUAGGCGGGAAUGCAAGUCAGAUGUGAAAACUAUGGGCUCAACCCAUAGCCUGCAUUUGAAACUGUAUUUCUUGAGUGCUGGAGAGGCAAUCGGAAUUCCGUGUGUAGCGGUGAAAUGCGUAGAUAUACGGAGGAACACCGGUGGCGAAGGCGGCCUGCUGGACUGCGACUGACGUUGAGGCCCGAAAGCGUGGGGAGCAAACAGGAUUAGAUACCCCUGUA